ACUGAACGCUAGCGGGAUGCCUUAUACAUGCAAGUCGAACGGUGUGGCGAACGGGCGAGUAAUGUAUCGGAACGUGCCCAGCAGAGGGGGAUAACUACGCGAAAGCGAAGCGAAUACCGCAUAGUAUUGGAGUGGCCGAUACCGGAUUAGCCAGUUGGUGGGGUAACGGCUUACCAAGGCGACGUAGCUUAGCUGGUUUGAGAGGACGACCAGCCACACUGGAACUGAGACACGGCCCAGACUCCUACGGGAGGCAGCAGUGGGGAAUUUUGUGCAAUGGGGGAAACCCUGAUCCAGCCAUCCCGCGUGUGCGAUGAAGGCCUUCGGGUUGUAAAGCACUUUUGGCAGGAAAGCGGUACCUGCCGAAUAAGCACCGGCUAACUACGUGCCAGCAGCCGCGGUAAUUC
rnacentral:rRNA from 1 species